rnacentral:rRNA from 1 species
AACGUAGGUGGCGAGCGUUAUCCGGAUUUACUGGGCGUAAAGCGUGUGCAGGCGGGGUAUCAAGUGGUGUAUGAAAUCGCUCGGCUUAACCGGGCGCGGUUAUGCCAGACUGAUACUCUGGAGUGCGGGAGAGGGGCGUGGAAUUCCGGGUGUAGUGGUGAAAUGCGCAGAUAUCAGGAGGAACACCGGUGGCGAAGGCGGGUCUCUGGGCCGAUAUUGACGCUGAGGAGCGAAAGCGUGGGGAGCGAACAGG